rnacentral:rRNA from 1 species
GACGAACGCUGGCGGCGUGCUUAACACAUGCAAGUCGAACGGUGAAGCGCCUUCCUUUUUGGUGGGUGUGGAUGAGUGGCGAACGGGUGAGUAACACGUGAGUAACCUGCCCCCUUCUUCUGGAUAACCGCAUGAAAGUGUGGCUAAUACGGGAUAUUCUGGGUCUGUCGCAUGAUGGGUCUGGGAAAGAUUUUGUUUCGGUGGGGGAUGGGCUCGCGGCCUAUCAGCUUGUUGGUGGGGUGAUGGCCUACCAAGGCGGUGACGGGUAGCCGGCCUGAGAGGGUGGACGGUCACACUGGGACUGCGACACGGACCAGACUCCUACGGGAGGCAGCAGUGGGGAAUAGUGAACAAUGGGCGCAAGCCUGAUGCAGCGACGCCGCGUGAGGGAUGGAGGCCUUCGGGUUGUGAACCUCUUUCGCCAGUGAAGCAGGCCUGCCUCGUAUGUGGGUGGGUUGACGGUAGCUGGAUAAGAAGCGCCGGCUAACUACGUG